rnacentral:rRNA from 1 species
GCCAACACAAGCCCAACCAACCGACGCUAACCACGCCAACAACCAAAAAAACAACCAAAACAUUUGCCACAGGAAAGUAGCUGCGACCGAACUCAACCACCGACGCAAUAGAGACAGUACUGCGAAGAAAAUGUGAAAGAAAGUUACACCGAAAGCAAAAAAAAGCAGGAAUAAAACCCCGUACCUCUUGCAUUACCGUUUAGCAAGUACACACAGACAAGGCGCCACCCUAGUCUGACCACCCGAAUGCAAGUGAGCUAUUUUUAGGUAGUAAAUAUAGGACGAACCCAUUUCUGUAGCAAAAGAACGGGAAAACCUAGAAAUAGAGGCAAAAAACCUACCGAACUUGCCGAUAGCUGGUUGCCUGAUACACGAACCUAAGUUCGACCUUUGAUACUAUAUAUAACUUAAAUAAUAUAACCUUUACCAAAGAGCUAGUCAAUGAAGGUACAGCUCCAUUGACACAGGAUACAACCUUAAUCAGAGAGUAAACCAACCACACAAAUAAUGUUGGCUUCGAAACAGCCACCAAAAAAUAUUACGUUACAGUAACAGAGCAAAAAUACAAUACCCACCUACCUCCUGAAACCCACCCAGGCUAUUCUACGACCAAUGUAGAAGAGAUGAUGCUAAAACUAGUAAUAAGAAAUAUUCUCCACGGACAAAAUUUUACACUUAUCAGACCGAUACAGGGCAUCAUGAAACUUUCUACACACCCCAUAAAACAAACUGUAAGACCAACUCAGGGUUGUCCACGGAUGACCAACAGCCUAAAAAGGAACUCGGCAAACAACCUCUCCAACUGUUUACCAAAAACAUAGCCUUUAGACUACACAAUAUUGAAGGUACCGCCUGCCCAAUGAGGGUUUAAACCCUUAAACGGCCGCGUAUAUUAACCGUGCAAAGGUAGCAAAAUCAUUUGUCCUCCAAAUAGGGACCAGCAUGAAUGGCUACAUGAGAGAGAAACUGUCUCUUUAGGCCGGCCAAUGAACCUGAACUGCCUGUACAAACGCAGGCAUACAAAAACAAGACAAAAAGACCCUGUGAAACUUUAAAUGCCCGUCAACCCAGUGACCAAGGCAUUUUUGGUUGGGGCAACCAAAGAGAAACAAAAAUCUCGCCGCCAGUCACACGGCAAACAAGCCAACUGACAUACACUUAGACCCAGUAUUACUGACUAAAGAACCAAGCUACUCCAGGGAUAACAGCGCCACAUUCUUAAAGAGUCCAUAUCAGCAAGAAUACUUACGACCUCGAUGUUGGAUUAGGGUAUCCCAAUGGCGCAAAAGCUAUUAAGGGUUCGUUUGUUCAACGAUUAAAACCCCACGUGAUCUGAGUUCAGACCGGAGCAAUCCAGGUCGGUCUAUAUCUGUUAAGAGUUUCAUCUAGUACGAAAGGACCGAUGAAACAGGGGCUAUUUAGCAAUACCCCCUAACCGCCAAGUACUGCGAACGAAUAAAGUUCCUUGCACACUACCAUACACCCCCCCCAAGAAAAGGGGUAUAGCCCACACGCCCAGCGUGUGGGCUUUUUUGCGCGC